UACGUAGGUGGCAAGCGUUGUCCGGAUUUAUUGGGUUUAAAGGGUGCGUAGGCGGCCCGUUAAGUCAGUGGUGAAAGCCUCCAGCUCAACUGGAGAACUGCCAUUGAUACUGGCGGGCUUGAGUACAGACGAGGUAGGCGGAAUUGAUUGUGUAGCGGUGAAAUGCAUAGAUACAAUCAAGAACACCGAUUGCGUAGGCAGCUUACUAGGCUGUAACUGACGCUGAGGCACGAAAGCGUGGGGAGCGAACAGG
rnacentral:rRNA from 1 species